CUGACAACCUUGGAAAGUUAAGUCAUCCAUUUAUUCACAAAAUAGGCAGUGCACUUGCAGUGACAAUGCUCACUUCCCUUUCACUGACCUGCCAAGCAGUUUGAACUCUUUUCCAAAAGACCACAUCUGGUGAGAAAAGAGUCUUAACCAUUAAGGAGCAAAUGCCCACAUCA
rnacentral:sRNA from 1 species